AGUGAGAAAAAAACCAAAAUGUGAUCAAGUGUAAAUUAAAAUCGAAAGGAUCCACAAAAGCAUUAGAGAGUUUCUAAAUUUGAAUUCACAGACCCAUAUACCUUAUUCGCAUUAUAUUUCUAUUGAUUCAUAUUUAAAGCCAUAAAUUGUAUAUGGAUAAAAUAUACAAUUUUCUCUUCUCUUACAUUAACUGAGACACAAUAACUCCUGAAUGAGUGAAAUGGAUACUAUUGUUUUAUUUCUUAUAAUACAAGGGGGAUCUUAGAAGUGACUACACAUUAGAAAAGCACCUGUGACUAGAAAAUGCAGCAUAUUUCAAAC